GGGGAAACUCUUCCUGUCUGUAACAGAAGGCAGUGAAAUAUGAAGUGAUAGAGUAAAACCCUGUUUCUCUACACCUGAUUUCCUGCUCUGGGUUGCUUGCAAAGUCAGGUCAAGAUCUGAACACUGAUUCACUGAGAGGCUACUAGUGAUGUCCACAAAAAAGAAACACCAUCUCAGGAACUAUUACUGAGUGGAAGUAUUGCAAGUGCCAUCAGCUCUAGUCAUCACGUGCAUGAUGUAUGCUUUGCCUCACAGCAACCUGAGAAGGAGCAUCAAGAGGUGCUAACAACCACAUCCAUUCUGGCUUCAUAUCAACAAAACCUCUCAGAGUAUGAAUGUGAAGAGUUACAGUAAAUCUGUACAAUGAAAAUAAAUUUAGGUACACGGUUUG